GUCUUGAUGGCGCAGUUGGCUAGCGCGUUGGUCUCAUAUUGCUAUAAUAUGAUCUAGUUAAACACUAGGUAAUCCAGAGGUCGUGAGUUCGAGCCUCACUCAGGACA